GCGUAAAGGGCUCGCAGGCGGUUUCUUAAGUCUGAUGUGAAAGCCCCCGGCUCAUCCGGGGAGGGUCAUUGGAAACUGGGAAACUUGAGUGCAGAAGAGGAGAGUGGAAUUCCACGUGUAGCGGUGAAAUGCGUAGAGAUGUGGAGGAACACCAGUGGCGAAGGCGACUCUCUGGUCUGUAACUGACGCUGAGGAGCGAAAGCGUGGGGAGCGAACAGGAUUAGAUACCCUGGUAGUCCACGCCGUAAACGAUGAGUGCUAAGUGUUAGGGGGUUUCCGCCCCUUAGUGCUGCAGCUAACGCAUUAAGCACUCCGCCUGGGGAGUACGGUCGCAAGACUGAAACUCAAAGGAAUUGACGGGGGCCCGCACAAGCGGUGGAGCAUGUGGUUUAAUUCGAAGCAACGCGAAGAACCUUACCAGGUCUUGACAUCCUCUGACGACGGGGAGAUAGGGCUUUCCCUUCGGGGACAGAGUGACAGGUGGUGCAUGGUUGUCGUCAGCUCGUGUCGUGAGAUGUUGGGUUAAGUCCCGCAACGAGCGCAACCCUUGAUCUUAGUUGCCAGCAUUCAGUUGGGCACUCUAAGGUGACUGCCGGUGACAAACCGGAGGAAGGUGGGGAUGACGUCAAAUCAUCAUGCCCCUUAUGACCUGGGCUACACACGUGCUACAAUGGACAGAACAAAGGGCUGCAAGACCGCAAGG
rnacentral:rRNA from 1 species